CGAGGACUGAUCUCUGCUGAGCAUCUAUGACAGAAGAACCGGCUGGGCCAUGGAGGUGCUUCAGCCAUCUUUAGCCACUAAAAAGCCAGGGACUGAGGAUACAAUACAGCACUGGUAUCCUUAAUGUGAUAAACAUAACAGCGGAUUGAUGGCUAUGUCGUGUCGCACAAGUCUGGAGUACCUAUCUCUUUUGCUUGGCACCACAUACUGAAAGUAUGUAGGAGUUCCCUUCCGACUGCCCAUCAGCCAAUCACAUCUCUCAAGCCGUCUGGCCUGAUUUUUAUGUAUAUAUGUCCAGUUACAUGCUCUUGAGGAGAGUGGAUGUGGAUGCAAGCAACUCCUACUGGAGGCCCACAGUUUUGAAAGGAAAACAGUGAAGCUAUAGCCUGUAUCCAAUAUCAUACAGCCAACACACUCCUCCCUAUAAGCUCAGUCUUAUAAACAAAAUCUUUUCUCUCACUUGUUCUCAUGGCCUAAUAAUAAAACAACUGCAAAUUUCUAACAGUAAAACAACUGAUUCAUUUCCCAACCUGGAGCACAUUACAUAGAUAAGAUUAGUUAUAACAAGAUCGGAUGUUUCCACACAGCAAAGCUCACAAUGUAACCUAGUUAGGUCCUAAUGUCCUCUAGCCCGGUGUUGUGUCUGAUCUGGCCAUGUGGGAGCAGGAAAGACACGGCUGUCCCAUGGGCUGAGAUUAGAGAGGGUCUGAUAGCACCGAGGUUUGCUAUGUCUGCCUGGCUGAGGUAAGCUAUUGUCUCUCUGCGCCCAGUGCGUCACCACCAUCCCAGUCGAAUGCUCAUUGUAGCAAUCCAAUCUGGGGAGUGAGUGACUGCGGGUCAGAGACAGGUCAUGUGAGCAGCAGAAAACAACUCUUCCAAACCGAGGGACCUUCCCCAUUAUGUAGGCUAGUUUUAGGCCACUUCGAAUCUGGAUUUGGGAUACACUGACCAAAAAAAACAUUACACUGCUUUUGAGGUAGUAUAAAUAUAUUAAAUUGUUUCUUGCUACCAUGUGGAUGAAAACUGAAUAUGUGCCAUAAAACACUGCAAGGGGUGGAAGUGACUAAGUGUAUUUCUUCCUGUUACUUUAAUUAAGUAGCUUUGCACAUGCAUGUAUGUGCACACAUACAUCUAAAUACUUAGACAAUAGAAUAUUUGUUGCUUUCCCGGGCCUAGUUUUUACAGCAUAAUUUCUAUUACACUCUAAGAGGCAAUAAAAGGUUGCAGCCAAGGCAGCAGACAGAUAUGCUGCAAGGGACACUGCUGCUUUUGUCACUCCAUAGAGUUUUUCCAGACACUCCAGCCGGGAUUGCCCCACACAGUCCCUCUGGGGCCCUGAAUCACACUCACAUACACACAUAAACACACACAUGAACACACUCAGAAACACACACACCCACACACUCAGCAAUAACAGCCGCCUGCUGGAACUUCCUGGGCCUCUUAGUCAUGCGUCACUUGUUUUCAGUCCCACCCAUCGAAGACUCUCUCUCCCUCCAGACACACUCUGUCUGCCUGAGGCCAUGUGUCACAAGAGCUGUACAUCAGAAACACACACCCACACAUACACACACCAUAAGAAUCCCGGACAAACAGCAAGAAGGCUGAAAAGAUCAACAUUAGUGAUGGGGGGGGGGAAAUUCUUAAAAAAAUAAACGUAACAACGUUGUCAACAUGUAUAUACUCUGGAAUCACAGCAGGUACUCUUCUGUUCUGUACAGUGUUUUUCCGCUCGGCUUGUGAUCGGGCGCUGUGUUCCAGAACAAAAUCCCUCGGUACUACAUUGGUACAUAAGUGUUUGGGAUUACAUCACUGAACAGCUAACAAAAUAUAGAUGUUGCUGGAGGAACAUAUGUGUACAAUUAGCAGCUUAGGUUCAACCGUCCUUGUUGUAGUGGAGUGUUUGUGGUCACUCACUGCAGAUGUUCUGUGUAAUACUUUAGCAGAGGCUGACUCUAUCUGUUUUUAUUGACCCAUUCUUUGAUUAGAUUGUGGAAGUCUGUCCUGGUCAUGAGCAGUGCAGUUUUUUGUACUUUGCACUCCAUCACUGUCUCUUUGUGUUUACUGAAGUGUUACAGGGUGAUUUUUAGUGCUAAACACAUUUUAACCUCACUAGCAGUAUGGAUCUAGGGAUGGCAAUGUCAGUUUGACAGUUCACCACUUUGGCCCAGACUAAAAUAUCUCAGCAACUAUUGGAUGAAUUGCAACAAAAUUGUAUACAGACAUUCAUGGUCCUCAUAGGAUGAUACCCGGACUUUACCUCUUGCCCCAUCAUGAGAUUGACAUUUGUAGUUUUGAGUGAAAUGUCUCAUUUAGAUGGAUUUAUGUCCCCCUCAGGAUGAU